GCCGAUUAGGGAAAGCUUUUACCGGGUCCUCGUGGCCCCUGCUUGAUACACGGCCGGGCAUCGCAAACGUUACGCAGCCGUUCGAACUGUAAUCAUAAUUAUUACUGUAUUGGAACAUAAUUGUUCCCGCCAUACUGUUAUUAGUAAAGGAAAUAUCUGCGUGCGUGUCGCUUUUCUUGCUCACCUUGCACAUAGCGACAUAGCGGCUGGAUGUCCGCCAUCCCGUUAUUUGCGCAACCCGCAUGAGAAAUCCCCAUCCUCUUCCAAGCGUGGCACCAUGUGAAAUACCCAUCCUCCCGGCCCCCAAAGAGUAGGGACAAGGUAACUGGAGAAGCUCCCGGAAGUCAGUCUGACGGAGCUGGAAGAGACCCCCCUCCCGGAUUCACCGCCCCGCCCCACACCCCCCACUCCCGCGCCACACCAACCCGGCCUCCCAGCGCCACCGCCCAACGGCCCUGCGCACCCACAGCAACCGCCUGUCAUUCCCCGGUGACGCACCCGUUGAUGCGGCAGACGGACGUCGGCGAUGGAGUCCGAUGGGCAGUCCGGUGAGCUACGACGGCGCGUCGACCUCCGGGGGCCGUCGGGAGACGCCGGGACGCCGGCUGUCCUUCAUCGAGGGCACCUCCGUGAUGGAGAGCAUCAACCAUCUGGCCUAUCCCAGCCAGAUGCUCGUGCAGGAGGACGACGGACUGCCGCCGGUCAGUCGGCGCGCCAAGGAAAAGCUGCGCUUCAAGCGCCAUCCGUGGAAGUGGAUCAAGAGCAAAUUCUAAACGAUCUUUCAAGGAAUUUUCACAAUAUUAUUUAUGGAUAAAUUCGCCCGGUGACGGAUUAGUUUUGGGGAGGUGUAUUUGUUUUUGAUUAUUCUUUGUGGAGUUUGGAGGCGGCUGCUCACUUGAUUCAUUUACCGGUAGCUCAAAUCUGCAAUGCUUAUCUUUGUUCAGCCGGCGUCUAAUGAUGCCGGUGCCCUUUUUCCAUUUUUUUAAGCGUGCGACUGGUUUUGAUCCCAAGCGAUAGAUAUUCUGACGGCGAUGAUAAUCAUUACUAUUGUCGUAUUAACCAACAGUACCUUGCUCGAUGUAUUGCACGUAUAACGUUUAAUAAGGAACGUCACGAUUACAUAAUUGCGUGUCCGAACGUGUGCUAUUAAAAGCAGCAGU